ACCAUCGUCGAGACAUCUCGUGCCGAAGAAGCACCGAGGAAAUAUCCGGGGUUUUUUUUAAUUCACGGAAUAUACCUGUUCGGCGACUUGUCACUAAAGGGUUCAACUACGGGGAUAGCGAGUUAUCUCUCUUGGAUAUACCUUUUUUUUCUUCUCCUGAAGAAGACUGAUUUGACUAAGGGGGUUGGGAAUGUACCCCGCGUAUGUGGAGUCUGUCCGUAGGUGAAGUGAAAUAAUAAUCACAGACUAAGCGAUAUUAUUGAACCAGAGAGGAGGAAACUUUUUUGUUCCGUCAACCAUGACGGAGCAGAUAAUUACCUUGACAGACGAACAAAUAGCAGAGUUUAAAGAGGCCUUCUCGUUAUUUGACAAAGAUGGCGACGGGACCAUCACGACCAGCGAACUCGGAACUGUCAUGCGCAGUCUGGGUCAAAAUCCGACGGAAGCCGAGCUACAGGACAUGAUAAACGAAGUGGACGCUGAUGGCAAUGGUACGAUAGACUUCGAGGAGUUCCUUUUAAUGAUGGCCAGAAAAAUGAAAGACACAGAUAGUGAGGAGGAACUUCGGGAGGCUUUCCGAGUGUUCGAUAAAGACGGUAACGGUUUUAUCAGUGCAGCCGAACUCCGCCAUGUCAUGACCAAUUUAGGGGAAAAGUUGACAGAUGAAGAAGUGGAUGAAAUGAUUCGAGAGGCCGAUCUCGACGGUGACGGCAUGGUGAACUAUGAAGAUUUCAGGACGUAUGCUUCCGGUUUGUUUUCCAAUCAAUCAAAAUGAUGUAUCCUCUGGGCACCACUCCCUUCCCUUCAUUAUGACGUCAUCAGAUGAAAUGUCUGCUUAUAAGCAAAAGGAUAUUUUUUUUUAAACUUGGCUCAAACACACUAACAAUCAACGCAUGCUCAACGGUCAAUAUACUCCGCAGUGGACCGUCGUCUGCAAGAAAUAUACCAAUUAUUUUAUCGUUACUAAAAUUCAACUUCAGAAGUGUAUAUUGUUGAUGUUCGAUGGAUAGUUUUUGCAGAAAUUCGUUACGAUGAUGACGGCUAAAUAGCAUGGCAGGAUUGGUUUGUGAAUGACGAGGAAAUUCGGAUGUUAUUUGUAUAUUUGUCUACAGAAGACCUUGAAUAUUUGCAUUGAAACCGAACACGUGAUUAUUUUAUUUUAUUUUUUUUCAGUGUUGUAUAUUUGUUUAAAAUGUUCGAAACUUGUAAGAUCUGUCUUUUGUGUACAUUCUGACGUUGCAUUUGUAAACAAUAAAGUCGCAUUAACCAUUGU
rnacentral:misc_RNA from 1 species